GUGCUUACUUCCGCAACUCAUAUGCUAACAUUGAAAUAAUACAGAGAAGAUGAGCAUGGCUCUGUACAAGGA
rnacentral:snRNA from 1 species